GUUUUGAUAGUUUAAAAAAAAACUUUGGUCUUGUAAAUCAAAAAUGAAUUUAUAUUCUCAAAACU
rnacentral:tRNA from 1 species